UCCCUGGUAGUCUAGCAGUUAAGCAUCCAGCAUUGUCACUGCUGUGGCUUGGGUUCAAUUCCUGGCCCGGGAA
rnacentral:tRNA from 1 species